rnacentral:rRNA from 1 species
AUUGAACGCUGGCGGCAUGCUUUACACAUGCAAGUCGAACGGUAACAGGGUGCUUGCACCGCUGACGAGUGGCGAACGGGUGAGUAAUGCGUCGGAACGUGCCGAGUAGUGGGGGAUAACGCAGCGAAAGUUGUGCUAAUACCGCAUACGUACUGAGGUAGAAAGUGGGGGACCUUCGGGCCUCACGCUAUUCGAGCGGCCGACGUCUGAUUAGCUAGUAGGUGAGGUAAAGGCUCACCUAGGCGACGAUCAGUAGCGGGUCUGAGAGGAUGAUCCGCCACACUGGGACUGAGACACGGCCCAGACUCCUACGGGAGGCAGCAGUGGGGAAGUUUGGACAAUGGGCGAAAGCCUGAUCCAGCCAUGCCGCGUGUCUGAAGAAGGCCUUCGGGUUGUAAAGGACUUUUGUCAGGGAGGAAAUCCCUAGUGCUAAUAACACUGGGGGAUGACAGUACCUGAAGAAUAAGCACCGGCUAACUACGUGCCAGCAGCCGCCGCGGUAA